AGAGGCUGCAUGGGAGAGAUCGGCCUACUGGCCGGCGCCGACGGAGCAACCCCCCAGGAAACUCUCAGGCAAAAGUGACCAUGCAGC
rnacentral:ncRNA from 1 species